rnacentral:lncRNA from 1 species
AAAACCUGCCUUUCUUUCCUUUAAGGAUAAACAGUAUCAUCAAUGAACAGGGGGAGAGAUUACAGUCCCCAAAGCAAGACAGAGCCCAGGAUCUUGGACUCAAGGUCAGAAAAGGGUUAUCCUUUUCUGAUUGAAGGUUUCAAUUAAGGAGAAUUUCACUGCUAUAGCUCAAAGAAAAUUAACUUGGAAAUGUGAUAUGCCAUGAAAAGAAACUCAAAUGACAUUAGAAAGAGAGAAGUAAUCAUCUCAUCAGAAGCUAUAAUAAUGCAAGGUAAAUCAUCCCAUUUAAGUAUUUCUCCAAUGUAAUCUAUAAAUAUGAAU